rnacentral:sRNA from 1 species
AAAAGAAAAGCUGGUUCGUCGUUCUCACACACUACACAUUCGGAAAACCAUUUAUAUAAGCUCUCUCUCUCUCUCUGUGGACGGAAGCUCUCGCUCUGAUCUCACAAUGUAAGCUCUCUCUCUCUCUGUGUUGUGUGUUUGUAUUUCUCUCCGACGCUAGAUUUCUCCAUGGUUCUUAUGAGCUGAGCACCGCCGAAGCUUUCCUCUGCAUUCCGUCGUCCCUCUCUUUUGUCUCUUUCUCCGACCCUAGCUCUCUCUCUUCUCUUCCGUUUAUCACCAUCGCCGUUAGCCCGUUACCAUUCUCUCUCUCUCUUCUCCGUUCUCCGUUAACUUAUUCACGAUCUACUAAGGUUUUUAAUUUUUGUUUGUUAUUAUUAUAGGAUGCGGAUUUCUGUGAUGAAGCCCGUUCGCCACCAACAGGUUCUUCUUCCUGGACUCUUGAAGCGUGCGGUACGUAAUCAUAAAUCUUUCAAUC